AAGGCAUUCCAGGUAACGGAAGACAAGCAUUCAUUUACACUAUCGCAUAAGUUGGCCUCAAACUUGCAGCAAUCUUCCUAAUUCAGCCUUCCUAGAACUGGGGUCACAGCUUCACAAUGUUAUCUAAGGAGCCCGAGAUGAGCUGCUGUUCAUGGGUAGGAGACCACUUCACUGAUGUUACCCAGCCUGUGUGUGAGGUGAGGGACAGCGACACCAAAGAACCAUCUGAACCAAGAAAAAGAAAAUGCAAUGAGCUUCAGGAAAGAAAAACAGAACACAUCUAAAGAACAUUUGUAGAAACUUAUCUUUUUAACUUUUUCAACAUUCCCCACUGGAUACCACACACCUUUAGUUCGGGGAUCCCACAGCCUAAUAUGCCUGUCUGUGCUUCCAGAUGCCAAACGUUUACAAAGGGCAGAGUAGGAAAUACAAUUAAACACUUUAUUUCCUGUCUGAAAAUAAAAAGAAAGAACAUUUAACCACA